CUUCUCACGUGACCAGUCAAGAUACUAAUGCCCAAAUAAAACCUUCAAGUUCAAGAAUUUACACUUUUUUUUGGACAUCUUGUUGCAGAGAUUUAGGAACUAGGAACAGCAUGAAAUUACUUGCGACCUUGCUCUCAGCAGUGGUUCUCACGUCAGCUGUCACUCCAAACCUGAGACUCCAUA
rnacentral:sRNA from 1 species